CAUAGACUGUAUAUAGAAUAGACAGAGUCUGCCUCCUCGCUGGGUGAAGCCACUCUGAGAACAGCACCCUCUGUUGAUGGGCUGCAGUAUAGGUCAUAAAUCCCGCCUCUGCCAGCAAAGCUUAUGGGACUGUGGACAAACUUUAGAAAUUUAUUACACAGAACAUACAUUUUUCUCCCCCCUGCUUGUGAUGUUGACAUGUAGUUACUGUCAGACUGGUUUGUGCCCAAGUCCUUUUUCUUCUGUGAAGCUCCGUUUUUAAAAGUUAUUAGGGGGUUCAUGUUUUCUAUGAUUGACACCUGGUACAGCCUAUGGGCGUUCAGGGAUUGCGUAGCUCUCCCGAGGGGAUACUCUGUUUGAGUCAAGCGUCAUCACAGUGACUCUUGGCAACUGCGCGGCCGAAUGCACGCAUCGCUACUGCGCAGCUCUGGUUUCAAGGAAGUGGAGAAAAACCCAGAAUUACCGAGAGCUUUUUGGCUUCAAAUCCGCAUACAGGCGGAAGGCGGAACCAGGUUGUCCAUCUUAUAUACAGUCUAUGCUAAAAAUAGACAGCACUGUGUUCAGAUUAAGGAUACAGUGUCAGAGUUCAGAAGGAUGACCUGUGAAGUACCCCAAAAAUCUGUGAUUGGUCCACAAGUCUUUAUAUGUUAUAUCAAUAAUAUUUGCAGUGUUGCAAUUUUUUGGCACUUUGUGUGAGUAUCAGUCACGCAUCACUUCAGGAAGUUGAAACAAUUGACAAUUUAAAGGAUUUUAAAAUCUAAUUUUUAUAAUAACUUAUUAGAAGAUGCUUUGAACCUAGCAGAGGACUUAUGACUGACUGACUUAGUGCACAAGAAACAAUACAACUAUGAUCAUUACAGCUUAGGCAGCCUGCCCUUUAAUAAAAUCUUACAAAACAAAAUAAAACAAAUGAAAUCAAACCAAAUACAACAAACACAAAAAAAAGCGAGAGAGAGAGAGAGAAGGAGAGACAUGGGGGACAGCAACAACAACAGCUCGUACAUAGUCUUGGUUAUAGAGCCAAUAAUAAUGGAUGAAUAUGAGUUCUGUUUACAGGAUCAGGAAAUAGGUAAUAACGGACUUUGUUAACUUAAACAAUUUAGAACAACUUUUUGUGGUGUUGAAAGUGAGUUGUACAUUCUCAAAUUGUUUUGCAUGGUGACUGCAUAAAAAUACAACCACUUCUAUUUCUAAGUUUAAAGAAAAGUAUUUGGUUUAUUUUCCUGGUUCAAGUCCUGUGUACAUUUGGAUAAAUGCUGUUGUUAGUGGUGCUGGUGAUGAUGUGUGCAUCGUGCACAGAAAUGUUCAGAAAUGUUGAGAUUAUUGGUAUGCUUGUCUGCUGUACAAAGUUGAUAUAAAACUGGUGUGUUCUUCUUAUACUCAGCUGUCAUGAAUUUGAAGAAUGACCUUGCUGCAGACACAACAGACCUCUGUAGGUGUGUUUGCACUUAAAAGUUGGGCAAGCUUACUGGCAAAAGUAGCUCUUCAUCGGUCCUUUUGACAAACUUCAUGAAAAUAUGUUUUGUUUUAAACUGAAAGCAGAGGUAAACUCCCCACUAAGAGGUCUAACUGCACAUGUGCGGAUGGUUGUGACUGAAAUAUCCUGAAUGAUCCUGAUCUUCACAAGACAAAGAAGUGUGUGUGUGUGAAAAGGUGUAUUUACUCGAUCCUGUAUCCUUCAACCUAAAAUAAUUUGCUUGGAUAAAUGGGUUACAGCGGAUACUUAAAGAGUGUAAAUGCACCAGAAAUGGUGGAAAAUUCAAAAAGUGGCCGUCUCAAUCAUGCAUCAUUAUCAUCAGCUCUCAAUCCGUCAACUCUGCAAAAGUUGUGGCAACAAAUUAGAGCAACAUGUGUCACAAGAGCAACAGUCAUAGACACAACAACAGACACAGUGAUCCUGCAGACAACACUGGAGAAUAUGUGAACCGGGCCUUCUCAGACCAAACACAAUCUAUCACACAGACACACAACGAAAGCAUCAGGCUAAUGGAGCUGUGAGCAAAUGCUGCCAUGAUGCUGCAGAACCAUCUGAGCAUUCAGAAGUGUUUUCAUGUAUAACCGUGCAUAAAGUUCUCUGCAAAGUGGAAAACUAAUGAGCUCUGAAAGUUGUUGUCAGGUCCCUGAGGGGAACACUGACUGCAGACCAAUGGUGUCUAUAGUGUGCUAUGUUUGAGCUGCUCAAAACUAGUUUUUUUUUCCAAGAGGUUAUUUGGACUAUUGUAUAAGCUUGGAUGAUUUUAUUACCUUUUUAAAAACUUUCAAAAUCACCAGUGUGUGUGUGCAUGUUUAAUGCUGAACAUUGCUCUUAUGUAUGUUAUCUGCUAUCUUUUCUGGCUGUUAGAGUGUGUUUUUGGGGUCUUUCCUGACUGCAUGUUGAAGUUGAACUUUGCUCUGUAAUGCCAGUGCAGCUUAUCAGAAUCCUGACCAACAGUGUGCUUCUCAGAAAAUCUAUCAUGCCAUCACUCACAAUUCUCUCUGUCAAAAAAGUCUUGCCUUAUUCACACUAGCACAGACUCCUGAGAACUUCCUGAAACUUUAUGAAUCGCUCACUACAAAUUUUUUUUCUGCAUUUACUGAACUCUUGCACCAUCAGAGUUUUUUUUUUUUUCUUUGGGUCCCUGAUCAAAUUUCUGCAAUGUGUGGAAGUCUGGAAAUUUCACUGUGUGCAGGUGGGCAGGCUGAGUGCUCACCUGUCAGUCAAGGCUCAAAUUUAUAAUUUAUGCAAAUGUUUUGUCCUGUGAGGUUUACUUGGUGUGUUUGCAUUUAUUCCUCAUCUUUUAAGCCUCUGGAUUAACCCCCCCAAAUCCCCUCAUGCCCAAAAGAAGCUGCUCAUAAAUGAGAGCCAAUGACCGAGUAGAUACAGUUUUCUGAGUGCUGAGAAUCCAAAUUUAUAAAAAAUAUGAGCUGUAGCUGGUAAAAUGAUCAGCUUAGAAAACAUUUGGUAACAUUUAUAUUUAAAUGUAAAUUUAUAGCUGCUUGCAAUGAAACUGUUUGUCUCGACAGCACAGAAUGGUUUCAGUCAGGGAUUAUGAAACAGGAGAGGACGAACAAUCUGUCAGGAGAACUGGCUUUAGGAUUCAUAUCAGAAUAACUCCUCUACACACACACACACACACACACACACACACAACCGACAGGUGGACUGUGUCCAGUGAAACAGUGGCCCCUGUCAGCACCCAGAGGCCCCGUUGUCCUUCCACUGUGUUGUGGGUGUCUCCGUCCUGUUAAGAGGCUCUGUGGGUCGAGUGUGUGCUUCCUGCUGUCUGUACUGGGCUGAGUGGGAUGGUGGUGGUUAUUCCAGCUCUCAUCAUCUCCCCCGUAUAAGGGCAGCUGUAAAACAUUGCUUCCUACAGGACUGAUGGGAUUGUUCUGCUGGACUUAAACUUGUGUCCUUCUUCUCUUGUCUCCUUCAGCCUUGUUUGACAUCUUCAGCUGACUCAGGGCAUGAUAGACUUUGGGUUUAGAGGAGUCUCAUCUUUUUCAAGAGUGCUGUCUCUGACUGUUCCUACAUGACUGAGUGAUCUCAUGCUCUGUUUCCGCGAAGCUCUGCCCUUAACCUCAAAACUCUCCGCUCAAGUUUGACAUUUCUCUCUGAGAAGGUUUGCUCACUACCAGUUUUGUUGCUGAUCUUCAAACUCAAGUCUCUCUUUCCCUUUUUCUCAGACUGCUUGCACACUUUUGUCAAACAUCUCAGUCUGAACAACAAUCGAGUGAAAAUCCCCCAGUUUUAUUUUUAGAGCCUCUCUGUCACAGCUUUGCUGUUUUUACUCCUAUUUCUUUUGACCAAACUUGGAAUAAGACAGAAAAUCUCCAAGCUGCUUACCUCAGGCCUCCUGGCGGCAUGACUCAGCAGACCCAGUCUGUUGUCCGAACUCCAGCUAACACGAACCACUAAAGCUUUACUUUGAAAGAGCAUCAUAAUACAAGUACAAGACUGCGAUCAUCCUUUUUUAAAUGUUUUUUUUUAUUUUAAUUUGAAAUGUUUAUUUAUGAGGAAAACAGAAGAAAUGCACAAGCAUAAAAAGGACAAUGGAAAAAAAAGAACCAAAAGAUCAGUAGAUGAAUGUUGUUUAUCCUCAAGAGGAGUAAAUGAAGAAUUAUCCUCAAGAGGAGUAAAUGAAGAAUUAUCUCUACAUUUUCUGUGCUAACAUGGACAUAACCUUCUGGUAAUAUGUAUUAAGUGGGGGUUAUCUGUUCUAUUGCUGUGACUCUGAAAGCUCCUGUGAGGAGUUUUUUUUUUAAUGUUUAUGAAAACAGCUGAAAUGUAUAUUGGUACCUUUUCAUGAUAUCCAAAAGCAAACAAAACCACCAUUAUAACAUGGAUAAUUAUUAUAUUGUUAUGUCUUAUGCUGGUGUGUGAGGGCAUAAGCACAGCUGAAAAAAAGAUUCAGAAUAAAUUAGACACUUGACCGUCAAAGGUCAACAGAAUGGAAUUUUUUGACAAAAAUAACUACUCCAGGAUGAGGGGGACACAAUAUGCAAAGACCGCUUAGUCCACUGGGGGCGCCAGAGAUGACACGAACAGAAGGUUCCUCACAGGAGCUUUAAUGUUGAAGUAUUUGUCUGAUGUGAGGGACAGAGGUUGUCUGGGGGGACUUUUCCUAACAGUAGGUAUUGAGGACAAAAAGAAAAGAUUUCACUUUAAGAUCUUAUAAAUUUCCUCCUCUAUGGAGGACCAACACUGUUCAAAAACUGGUUAUUGUUUUCAAGGUAUUAAAUACUUGCCUGUUCUUUUCUGUUGCAUUAUUCUUACUCAUUCUCCCAGUCUUUGCUAUUCAAUAAUUUAAUAUAUUUUUCCUGAUAUGCUCUGGGAAUUUAGUUUAUUAUGCUGUAUGUGUUGGCUCGAAAUAUGACUUUUGAAGUUUUAAAUCCCACUUCCGCAUUAAAUAACUUUUCACCUGAGAAUACUUGAAAAACUGAAAAGGAGACUGCAUUUGUUCUGAUAUAUAUAUAUAUAUAUAUAUAUUUUUUUAAAGAGUUUUUAGCAGCCUGCAUCAACAACAACCAGCAGGUACAAACUCAGUUUGAAUCUCUGUGUCCUUUUUGAGCCAAUUUGCAUGUUUUCCAAUAGAUUGCAUUAGAUUUUCUUUAUUGAGGUAAAAUUUGCUUAAACAGUGCAUUAAGAGCAUUAAUGUCUCCAAAUCAGUUUAAACCUGAGUUACAGGACUGCUGUGAAAUAAAACGUGUAAUUCCAGAUCUCAGUGUUGCUGGCAUGCCAUUUAAUUUUGCCAUUUGCCACUGAGUUAUCGAAUUAUUUAUCUUUUUAAUUUCACAGAUUUUUAUUGCAUUACUUAUCAUCUCACCAUAGCUGAAUCUGCAUGUACUAAUCCAAAGUUGUGUUAUAAAGAUGUCUGUCACUGUAGCUGAGGCCGCCAAGUCACCCUCAGUCUAUCCUGUGGAAGAACUGCACACACACACACACACACACACACACACACACACACACACACACACACACACACACACACACACACACACACACUCACUCAGACUAACAGACUGGCUGGUGCCUGUAGAGCCCCAGGGGUGUGUGUUUGUGACAUGCUCAGAUCAGGUGCAGCGUCGCGCUCAGGGACAAGGAGCUGCAGCAUACGACACAUGCUCACUCCUUGCCUUUUCCCUCAGUUGUCUCAUCUCCUUUCGUCUUUGUGAAUAAUUUUUUAAGCAUUAUCUUGCUUUCUUUUCUUUCUACCUUAUUAAUUCCUUGCUAUCCUCUGUCGUUUUCUGCCUCUCCUGUCCUCCCUUAACUGCUUUCACAGAUUUGUUGGAGUCUGCCAAGGGCCGCUCUGUCACUUCAUUCAGCUGUAAUCAAACUGACAAACUCAAGUGCAGCAGUCUCUGCUGUUUUUUCAUUGUCCUGUGUAUGGAGGGUUGUGGUUUCUCUGGUUUCUCAGUGGAACACUUCACCCAUAAAUGAUCCAGCAGUGAGCUGCACAGCUGAGCAGAAUAUGAUGAUGAUGAACUCUGAAUAACUCACUGGAAAAUUAAGAAAGCUAUGUGUGCUUGUGUGUGUGUGUGUGUGUGUAUGUGCGUGUGAGUAUAUUUUUUCCCUAUGCUCCACUCUCUCUGUCUCUAGAGGUCAAAGGUCAUCUCUAAUUGGCCUAAUGGACUGUUCUAACAGCAGAUCUGAGGUCAGUGGAUCAGAGGCCGCUGAGGACACAAAAGGAGCAACAAACCAGUAAACAGACUUGUGUUAGACACAACACUGCCAUCCAGCAGAUAGAUAGAGUUACUGAGCAGCUCGUCCUGCAGACAAUGAGCUUCGUCAGUUAAAGUCUGGGUGGACCAAUGAAUACUUGUGUCUACUUUCAGCAAAAGGUUUGCGUUUUUCAGUUUGUCCUCCGUACGCAUAUUUUAUGAACUGAAGUAGUCAACUACAACACCAAGUUACCAAAAAUCUCCACUUUCAUUUCAUUAGCGCUCAUUUUGUCAGAAAAUUAAACAGUGUUUAGGUUAAAACUGGGAUUGUAAAAAAGAACUGUUUGAAAACCACGAUUAUUCGCAGAAUUUCAAAAGUUUAUCAUACUUAUCUAAUUUGUAACAGUUUAGAUUUCAUUAUUUUGUAUUCUUACAUGUUUUUUAAUCUAUAUUCAUGAUAUGACCCAGUUCUUAAAAGGUUUUUUUUAGGGAAUCAAAUCAGCACUCUCUGAUCUCAACCAUAGGAUAUAUCAUUGAAAUAAGUGCUCCAACUAUUAUCUGUCCCUGUCAUAGACUGUAUAUACUAUGGACAACUUGGUUCCGCCUCUCGCCGUUAUACAGAUUUGAAGCCAAAAAGCUUUCGGUAUUUCUGCGAUUUUUCUUUAUUUCCUGAAACCAGCAUUGCGCAGAAGAGUCGCCGUGAUGACGCUCGGCUCAAACAGCGUAUCCCCCGGGUGAGCUACGCAAUCCCUGAACACCAAUAGGCUGUAUCAGGUGUCAAUCAUAGAAACAUUAACUCUCCAAUAACUUUUAAAACUGAUCUGCACAGAAAAAAGAGGACGAAACAAUCCCUGGUUUUCUUCUGAGAUUGGAAACCUCCUUAAAGAAAGAGAUGCUGCUUGAGCUUGGGCAAGAAAAACGAAGACAAAGGCUGACUGGCUUCACUUUCGUGAACUUCAUAAUAUGUGUACCUCCUUAAUUAAGACAGCCAAAUCAGAGUUUUAUCUGUCUGAAACCUAUAAAAAAAUAAGUGACCCAAAAAAAUUUUGGAAAGUGGUGAAAUCCUCCUCUGGCUCAAUGACGAGUGGGGAACCCCCAAACUUUUUAGUCCGUGAGUCCAGUAUACUGACUGAAAAGUCUGAAAUGUUAAAUUAUUUAAUUAACAUUUUAUCUCAGCAGGUCACUUAUUUGACUCAUUGAACCCUGAUCAAACAAAGUCUGUUUCUCAUGGUGAUAUAGGGUGUGUCAACGAACAUAAUAAUUGUAUUUUAAAUUUUUCUCUUGUAUCUGCCUCUGAUGUUGGGAGACCACUAAAUUAUCUGGAUUCCAGGAAAGCUGCAGGUCCUGAUAAACUUGAUUCUUUUCUUAAGAUGGCUUUCGAUUUUAUUGCAGAGCCCCUAUCUUACAUUUUUUGUUUAAGUCUCACAUACAACAAAAUUCCCCAAAUCUGGAAGCCCGCCUUUGUACUUCCCCUCUUAAAAGGAGGUGAAUCACCUGAAGUUAACAAUUAUAGACCUAUUUCCAAAUUGUGUGUAUUGGCUAAAGUGUUUGAGAGGCUAGUCAGUGAUCAGCUGAAGGACUUUUUUUUAAAUAUAAAUAACAUCUUAUUAUCAUUUCAAUCUGGUUUCAGAAAAUGGCUGGUUCUACUUCUUCCUUUCUGAAGGUCUCUAAAUGUAUACUUCAAGGUUCGGUCUUGGGACCUAUUUUAUUCUCUAUCUAUAUUAAUAACUUGUGUAAUAACUUGUCAAAUGCCUCAUCACUUUUAUGCAGAUGACACUGUCAUUAAUUGUUGUUCAUCAUCAAUUAUCCAGGCUUUCGAGUUUUGCAGUCUGCUUUCGAUGUUGUUCAAUCUUGAUUGCAGAAACUCAAAUAAAAAAUAUAUUUAAAUAUUGCUUCAGCCAAAUGCCUGCAGUCCUCAACUACUGUCUAGCACUGUGCGCUGAGAUUUACAACAGGUUGUGGUUGCCUAACGCAUCUUUGUGAACUUUACGCCAAAUCUGGCUGGCCUUCUCUGAGUAUUUGCAGGUACACUCACUGAAUGACUCAAAUUUAUAAGGUUCUUCUUGGCUUAGCUCCUUCUUAUUUAUGUGCUCUUCUUCCAAGGACUGAAAGCCACUACACCCUGCACUCAAACAACACUAUCCAUUUUAUUGUUCCGCGAAUCAGAACUGAACUGGGCAAAAAAGCACUCAGUUUUGCUGCCACUUCAGCAUGGAAUACUCUCCAGACUGACUUGAAAUUGUCAGAAUUAAUUUAGCUGGAAGCAUUUCGUUCAAUCUUACAUGACAGACUGUGGGAGACCAUGGAAGACCUGUGUUUUUAAUUAUGUUUCUGGAGGUCAUUUUCUUCUUCUUUAUUAUUAUUUAUUAUUGUGAUGUGUGCUGCCGAACUCUUUAACAGGUCACCCUUGGACAUGAGAUUUCGAUCUCAACGGGUUCUUACCUGGUUAAAUAAAAAAUAAAGUAAAUAAAAAGUCCCUCCACCACUAUCCCCCGGUAACAUGGGAACAUUGAACAGUCAAAAAAACAAAAACAAACCAAGAAAAAAACCGGGAGAGGAAGAUGAAAAACUUAUUAGUACAGACAGGAACUGUUCAUGGACUACAGAUUCUGACUAACCUAAGUUUUAAAUGAACAUGGUCAGAACCUGCAGACUGAGAGACCCUGCCCUAGAUAGCUUUUAUGAUCUUUUGCCUCUCUCUUAAAAGAAAAACUAAGUUUCACUGCAUGACCAAGAAAUAGUUAAAACUAAACUACAACUCUUUUUUUAAUGAAGGAUCUAAACACAUGGGGCUCUUUUUUCGUGUCCGCCGGUGAGGCGGCGGAGAGUGGCGGACCCCGCCAGUGUUAUUUUCGUCUGGCGGAGCCCGGCGUACAGACAGUUUGGUAUUUUCGUGGACUGAGGCGCACCGAGGUCCGCCAAGCUGGGUGUGGUGGUGUGGCAGAGGGAGGUGUCGACAGAAUCAGCUGCCUCAGUGACAUUUUUGUGCUCGCCGGUGGCGUAUAAAGUGCGCUGAAAGCUCGCCGAUUCAAACAGCUUUCAGGUCAGCUUUCAGCGCAGGCGGAGCGCAGCUGGUCUAGUGGUAUUUUGGUAGACCGGGGGCAUAUCGGCAUACGCCACCGAUGCCUCACCGGCAGGUUUCCACAGUGUCACAUUUAAGUGCAAUAAAUAAUCAUCAACAACUAAUAAUCUGAGUCAGCACAUACAUUUAGAUCUAUAUCGAUAUAUUCUGAUCUAUAUCUGAUCUGAUGAGCUUUGGCACGUGUUUGGACACACAACCUGACCGAAUCAACACAGCUGAAACUGCAUUAGAUUAAAUUAAAUAUCUAGUAAAUAGACACACAUAAUGAAGUUAACAAGAUAUGUAAUUCCUCUCCCUCCUUUUCUUCCUUCCUCUUCCUCUUAUUUCUCGCACAGCUCGACCUGGACAUGUCUCCGUGUCCUCUCCCCGUCCUGCUGCAGCUGCUGCUGCGGCGGCUGAACAGAUGAUUUGUUUCAGUGCUCAGAUGCGUUAUCUACUUUAAGCCUACAUACAAAUAUUUUAAUUUUCAGUUUUGUGAGCCAAUUCUAUUUUAUAUGCCAACAUCUAUGAAAGAAAGAGCCAGGCCACGGAGCGUGAUGCGUUGUUUACGCACAGAUGGUUCUGAUUUUAAUACCAUUUUUGGAAUUUAUGAUGUGAUCUCUGUGCACAACCCACCUUUGUCACGUGAGGUUUGAAUAUGUGCAACUUAAUGUGAGUGUCUUUAUUUGUGGAAAAGGGUGUUUGUCUUACCAGUGGGUCCAACAUUACACACACCAAAUCCAUCUGUGCUCAUAUGAGAGAGUGUAGAGGACGCCCUCUGCAGCGCUUACAGUGACACUUGUUGAGGGGCUGCCUUCUGUCGCCAUCUUGUGGCAUUACUGUCUUCAGACAUCUCUUGAUCUCUUUGAAUACUUCACGAAAAUAGUAAUACGCCUCGCCGGUGGCGGAUUUAAAGGCGAAGAGAGGAGCUGAUGUUAUUUGUCAAUACAGGUCUCGGCUGUGUUAAACCCACUCCACGCCCUCUUUCCUCCCUCGCUAAGACUUACGCCGCUAGGAGGAGCUGAGUUGGGGGGGGAGAUACUUACGCCGGGCUGCGCCGCUCACCAAAAUACCAAAUUGUGCUUGGGAACGCCUUGUCGGCGCCGCGCCUGCGCCACAUCUCCGGGGAUGCACAAAAAUAGAGCCCAUGUCGUUGAAGCUCCUAUUGAGAGUUUUUAUGGUUAUGGAAGGAAGGGCUAUGUGUCUGUAUGAUGUGAAAAGGAAAUGACAGUUGGUUGUAAUUCUAAAAUCCUGGCACUGCGGUGAGGAGAAUAGCUAUGCUAAAGAAAAAGUGUUUGUUACCAUCACAAACCAGUAAUUCACAGUGGGUAAUAAAGUUAAAGUAAAAUGACAAUUUUCAAUUGUCAAUAAACACCUUCUUCAGAGGGCAACAAUGUCAGCUAAAAUCAUUACUUACACAAAGUUCCUCACAGGAGCCUCCUUAGAGCCCAAUAUGGAACAAUGACCCAAAAUGUUAUUUAUUUAUUUUUAAAUCCAGAAAUAUAAUAAUUUGUUAACAUAUUACCAAAAGUGUUGACCAGAAAUGUAAUAAAAAUGAUAAUAAAAAAACCCGAAAUGUAAUCACUGACCCAAAAAAAUUUUACAGGUUACUAAAUUUUAGGCAACAAGUUAUUAUGUUUUGGGCUUAGCAUCCUGUUACAUUAUUGACCAGUUAUUACAUUUCAGGUUUUAUUAUAAUUUUUUAACUACAUUUUGGGUCCUUGUUACAUGUUGGGCUCUAAAAGGCCUUAAAAACUACAACAUAUAAUUCUGAUGGAUGUUUAGAUUUUAAAGAAAUCCGUCCACCAGACACGAGGCUUUCACCACUGAGCUAUUAAUCCCUCUUUCCCAGUGUGAGGCAGUAACAGACAGCUUCACCCACAGUGUUCGCUGCGUGGGAAGAGAGAGAUGAGGUCCACAAUAUGUAACACUUCUGGUGAUACAAACCAAAUGCAUAACAUAAAAAUUGACUUUUCUGUAUUUGAAUUAAGAACAUUAGCAAGCAUAUCCAGGUACAUAAACUUUAUACAUUGUUUUACCUGUAUCUCCAAGAAGUAUAAAAUAGUUUUCCUACAACAAUAAUCUACCUGCACCUUGAACACUGUACCUUUAAAUCAGCUUUGACACAAGCUUUCGACCUUAACUGCUUUUAACCUUUAACCUGCUUUUAACCCAGCAGUUGCAGAGUUUUUCAAAGUGAAAUGUUUUGAAUAAAGCAAAAGGACCAGAGUGACCUUAGAAACUAACACGUGUUGCAGUAUAUUUCUUUUUCUCAGACCCCUCCUCAGCCUACAGCUGCAGAGAGCCAUCAGGACCAUCCGAUCAUCCUGCACUGUGAACACCGAGGCCAUGUUAGUGUGAUUAUUUCACCUGCAGCCUGGGUUAACACGUUUAGUUUAGGACUGAGUUUAACUCCAUUUUAAAGGGCUGAAUAAAAUUUUUUGACCUUGAUCAGGCGAGGCCAUUUAAAGGUCCCAUGGCAUGCCAAUUUCACACAACUUAAAAUAGUCCCCUGGUGUGUUAAAAGCAUGUCUGUGACGUCCUUCGGUCAAAAUUCGAUUUGUAUCAAUUAUUUUAGUGCUCUUUUUAUCAGCUAAAAACAGCUCCGCUCAAAACCCUCCGUUUUGGGCCAUGUCUCUUUAAUGAAAUGAGCUGCACCUUAGCCACGUCCACUUUACACCCAUCUCUCUGGAGGGGGCUGUGGCUGUGCUCCAAUAGCCAUGUGCUAAUGUUUACACUGGCUCGGUCAUGGCUGCAAGUAGAUUGCUCGUACAACCCUACCAGUUUGAGCCAGAGUCUGACCCAGAGGGAGAGGCUCCGGAAGAAACUCUUAGCCGCGUUCAGACCAAAUGCGACUUGAAGCGACAUAGUCGACACAUCCUAUGUAUUAUUCAAAGCCGCCAGGAGGGUCACGCUUAAGGAGGAAAAUAUGAAUGUAGAAAAAAUUACAACCAGAGCUCUGCUGCAAUGUAAGAUUUUGGUGCUCUAAAACUUCUCUGAAGCCUUUGCUAAUUAAUAGGAUGGCCGACCGCCCAGCGUUAGCCGGGACGUCCCGUAUUUGAACCAAAAGAGGCGCGUCACCGCACGGGUAAAUGCUAAAGCUACAUGCUGCUCCGGAGGGGGAUUUUGUCCUCCGCCGGCGGAGUUGUCGGGGAAGAAGCGAGCAGCUAAAAUACGGGAGGAUCCGGUGAACUGGCGCGGAUCCGGUGUGUUUCUCAAAGCGUGGUGGCCGUGCUGAGGCACCGGGGGGAAUUCAGGCUAAACAGUAAGUCAAAAUAAAACGUUCACACUUACAGAUGCCACGUUUGUAGUAGGAUCACGGAUAGUUGGUACGGAUCCAUUCUUUAUCUUCAGACAUCUAGCAAAUCCAGCGUUGAACUGUCUCUCAUUGAUAAAACAGUCCGAAGUGAAAUGGUGCGCACAUACGUACAGAUAUUUGGAAGUGCCGCGGGUACAUUCCCGUCAUAAGGGAGGGAGUUUUAAAAGAGUUUUGUGCUCGUUUGUGCAGCCAACAACAGAGCCUCAGAGCCUCUUUUUCAGAUCAUUCUUUCGCCAUGGUUCUAACCGGAGCAAUGCGAGCGAGCGGCCGGGAAUAAUUUUUUGGACAGGGCAGUGGGCGGCUCCAUGGGCAGUACCAUCAACCCGCCAGCACUGACAUGACGUCAUGUCAGUGGAGUUUUCAGAACGGCCGGCUCUGAGCACACAGUUCACACAGUUCCUAAAUACGGAGAUAACUAAAAAACGACUGGAUGGAAUUUUUUCGAACUUGGGGGGAUUGUAGCGGUUUUCUUUCAUAGAUGUUGGCAUAUAAAAUAAAUUUGCCUCACAAAACUGAAUAUUAUAAUAUCCGUAUGUCGGCUUAAAGUAAAUAACUCAUCUGAUCACUGAAACAAAUAAUCUGUUCAGCCGCUGCUGCAGCAGGACGGAGAGAGGACACGGAGACAUGUCCAGGUCGAGCUGUGCGAGAAAUAAGAGGAAGAGGAAGGAAGAAAAGGAGGGAGACGAAUUACAUAUCUUGUUAACUUCAUCAUGUGUGUCUAUUUACUAGAUAUUUAAUUUAAUUUAAUUUAAUGCGGUUUCAGCUGUGUUGAUUCGGUCAGGUUGUGUAUCCAAACACGUGCCAAACGCGCUCAUCAGAUCAGAUAUAGAUCAGAAUAUAUCUAUAUAGAUCUAAAUGUAUGUGCUGACUCAGAUCAUUAGUUGUUGGUGAUUAUUUAUUGCACUGAAAUGUGCCUGACACUGUGGAAACCUGCCAGUGAGUCAUCAGUGACGUAUGCCAGUACGCCGCCGGUCUACCAAAAUACCACUAGACCAGCUGCGCUCCGCCUGCGCUGAAAGCUGACCAGGUUUGAAUCGGUGAGCUUUCAGCGCACUUUACACGCCAGUGGCGAGCACGAAAAUGUCACUGCGUCCGCUGAUUCUGUUGACACCUCCCCCUGCCACGCCACCACGCCCAGCUUGGCGGAUCUCGGUUCGCCUCUGUGCGCCCCAGUCCACGAAAAUACCAAACUGGCUGUACGCCGGGCUGCGCCAGACGAAAAUACAACUGUGCGGGGCUCGCUGCCCUCCGCCGCCUCAGGGGCGUACAUGAAAAUAGAGCCCAUGGUGAGUAACCUCUCAGUUUUUUACUCUCUCUUUUACGACACUACAGAUCAGCCAUAAGCUUGAGGGACUGACUGUGGACAGGGUUGAUGUAAAUAUCCAGAAAAGACUAAUUUUGCACAUUUCCGACACACUUAAGCAGAAUCCACAGUUCACUUGAACCUGGGUAUUUCACUUCUUUCAAAGUGUUGCUUUUUGUUAGCAAAUGUGGGACUUAAGUCUGACUGUACAGAGCUGGCUGAUGACACUAGGGUCCUAAAGGUGAAGGCCACAAAAAAAUCACAUGACUGAACCUGAUCAAUACUGGAGAUAUACACAUCAGCUAAUGACUGUGUUGAGAGAGGCUGCUGCAUUGAAAACAAGACUUUCUAUAAAAGCUACAGAAUUUUGCCUUUUUUGGUGAAAAGUAAUAAACUGAUUAUUGAAUAGCACAGAUUUAUAUUUAUUUCAGUCCUCUUAUAGUCUCAUUCAGUCCAGACUAAACUCUACAGCUGCACCCAGAAAAACAGAGUGAGGAACAACACUUUUGACCUGUUGUGUUUUUAUGAACCAACAUCGGUGUGUGUGUGUGUGUGUGUGUGUGUGUGUGUGUGUGUGUGUGUGUGUGUGUGUGUGUGUGUGUGUGUGUGAACUCUGUGCUCCAGAUCAUAAAUAUCUCACGGUGUGACAGGCCUGAGAGGCAUGCAGGCAAGAGCUCUUCCGACCAGCUCCAGGAAGUUGGAGAAACACACUUACCCAGGAGUUAUGAUAGCGUCUAACCCUUAACCUCAACCUGGAAACUACAGACACUCCAAAAACAUAGCCUGUGCAUGAAUUCAUUAACUGAGAGGCAUCCACACAAUGAGGGAUCGACAUGUUAGCACUCACUGGGCUGUAGAGACUAAAGUCUGUCUUAUUUUGGUGAACUGACAAUUUCAGUGUUAAGCAGUAUAAAUUUUCAAGAAAUAAGAGUUUAUUUGUAUGCCAGAGUCUGACGGACAGAAAAUUUUGUGUUGCCACAUCAGGAACAUUUAAAUGUUUAGUCCAUUUUCUGCAAAAGAAAAUGACUCAACACUUCUUUGAUCUGUGUAUUGAGGAGCUAUGAAAUAUCCUGUUGUGUUAACUGUGGAGGAAAGAAAAAAGUUCAAAUAUCCUCCUUUCCAGAGGGGCAUAAUUAUUUUUUAUUUUUUUUUUAUUUUUUUUGUGAAUGCAGUAUUUGUCUCCCCGGCAUCUGUUGAGUUAGAUCUCGCUUUUUCUACAACACAGACCACUCUCAUGUUUUUUUUAUUUUUUUUUUUUAUACUAUCGCCUGCCUGUAAACAAACAAAACUGAGUAAGAGUGAGGCUGUUGAUGUGUGGACGUAAAGUGAAAAAGAUUUUAUGACACCGCAGAGUUAGUACUUAUAAAAUACACAUUCAGUGGAAAUACCCAGGAGAAGUCAGCUGUGCCCUCUCUAGCUCAUAAAACUUUAACAAUAUACAACGUUGCUUUGUAAAUUGGAAUUCCUUGAAACUGAUGACAUGACUGUUUUGUUGUCAAAUUCUGUGGCCCGAAGUUUUCCUUUUUCACCUCUCCAAGGUUCACUGGUGGUCUAGAAAAUUUCUCUACAAGCAUUUUGAACAUGUCAUGAAAGAGAAGUGUUUCCUCUUGUCAAAGAUGUUGAAAAUCAGUCCUGGUAUUGAGUUACCUGUCAUUCUUUAAUUAUUAAGUUGCUUAGUUUAUUUCUAUUUUUUUAUUUAUUUAUUUUAUUUAUUUAUUUUAUGUUAUUUUAAAUGUAUGUCCAGUUAGUUCAGUUUCAGAGUGUAUGUAACUCAAAGAAGUUCCAGUGGUUUCUUCCAUUUCUCCUGAAAUGUCUGAAUCCUCCUGUUUAUGUAAUGUCCCAUUUUUUCAAGAGUCACGACCUCACAUAUCAGAGAUUUCCACAAUGGAACAGAAGGUGGGUCAUCUCCAACCCACUUUACCAGGAUUGUUUUCUUUGCCAACAUUAAGAGUGAUUGAAUCACCUCCUCAUGUUGAAUUGGGGACACUUCCCAGCAAACAUAAGAGUGAAAUUGCUGGAACCUGUUGUCCUAUUGCGAUACUAAUGUUUGCACAUAUUGCCCCCCAGAAUACCUGAAUUGUAUUGCAUUCCCACAGGCAGUGCAACCUAGUGCCUGCAUGACUUUUACAUUUGGGACAAUUUGGUGAAACUCCUGCUGUAUAUUUACUGUAAAUGUAGUGAAAUGUAUAUUGCUUUGAGAGUGGGUGAAGGUGUCUCCAUGUAUCUAAGAGGUCAAGUUCCUUGUUUCAAUUCAGGACAGCCUUGGCGUUUUUCGAUAUAACUGUCUGAGAGGGAGAUCUGUCGAUCAUUGGGCACAAAGCACAGUUAAAAUCACCCCCUAUUAUCAUAUUAGGAUAGUCCAUAUCGGCUAGUUGACUGACCAAAGAUGCGUAAAAUGCAUCAUCUUGAACAUUUGGGGCAUAGACAUUACCUAGCAAAAUAUUUUCGCCAUGCAUUAUGCCCAUAGACUGUAUAUAGAAUGGACAGCGUUUGCCUCCUUUCUGGGUGAAGCCACUCUGAGAACAGCACCCUCUGUUGAUGGGCUGCAGUAUAGGUCAUAAAUCCCGCCUCCGCCAGCAAAGCUUAUGGGGCUGUGGACAAACUUGAGAAAUUUAUUACACAGAACAUAAUUUUUUCUCCCCCCUGCUUGUGAUGUUGACAUGUAGUUACAGUAAGACUGGUUUGUGCUCAAGUCCUCUUUUUUCUGUACAGCUCCAUUUUUAAAAGUUAUUAGGGGGUUCAUGUUUUCUAUGAUUGACACCUGAUACAGCCUAUGGGCAUUCAGGGAUUGCGUAGCUCACCCGGGGGAUACGCUGUUUGAGCCGAGCGUCAUCACAGUGACUCUUGGCGACUGCG